rnacentral:rRNA from 1 species
AGUGUAGGCGGCUAUGUCAGUCGGAUGUGAAAGCCCCGGGCUCAACCUGGGAAUUGCAUUCGAUACUGCAUAGCUAGAGUUUGGUAGAGGUAAGUGGAAUUCCGGGUGUAGCGGUGAAAUGCGUAGAUAUCCGGAGGAACAUCAGUGGAGAAGGCGGCUUACUGGACCAAAACUGACGCUGAGGCUCGAAAGCGUGGGGAGCAAACAGGAUUAGAUACCCUGGUAGUCC